rnacentral:rRNA from 1 species
AUUGAACGCUGGCGGCAGGCCUAACACAUGCAAGUCGAGCGGAUGAAGGGAGCUUGCUCCUGGAUUCAGCGGCGGACGGGUGAGUAAUGCCUAGGAAUCUGCCUGGUAGUGGGGGAUAACGUCCGGAAACGGGCGCUAAUACCGCAUACGUCCUGAGGGAGAAAGUGGGGGAUCUUCGGACCUCACGCUAUCAGAUGAGCCUAGGUCGGAUUAGCUAGUUGGUGGGGUAAAGGCCUACCAAGGCGACGAUCCGUAACUGGUCUGAGAGGAUGAUCAGUCACACUGGAACUGAGACACGGUCCAGACUCCUACGGGAGGCAGCAGUGGGGAAUAUUGGACAAUGGGCGAAAGCCUGAUCCAGCCAUGCCGCGUGUGUGAAGAAGGUCUUCGGAUUGUAAAGCACUUUAAGUUGGGAGGAAGGGCAGUAAGUUAAUACCUGGCUGUUUGGACGUUACCAACAGAAUAAGCACCGGCUAACUUCGU